GAUGAACGCUGACAGAAUGCUUAACACAUGCAGUCACUGAUUGUGGCGGACGGGUGAGUAACGCGAAAAGAACUUACCUCACAGUUAGGGACAACAUUUGGAAACGAAUGCUAAUUACUAACACUGUGAGAGGGCAUUGCGGCCCCUUAGCUAGUUGGAGAGGUAACGGCUCACCACGGCGAUGAUGGGUAGCCGGCCUGAGAGGGUGAUCGGCCACAAGGGGAUUGGGACGCGGCCCUUACUCCUACGGGCGGAAGCAGUGAGUGCUGUUGGGCGAUGGACCACAGUCUGAUCCAGCUAUUCUGUGUGCACGAUGCAGUUUUCGGAAUGUAAAGUUCUUUCAGUUGGGAAGCGGUACCAACAGAGGAAGUGACGGCUAAAUACGUGCCAGCAGCCGCGGUAAUAC
rnacentral:rRNA from 1 species